AUGAGCCUGUGUUUAUGUAUUUCCUGUAAACAUGGAAAUAUUUCUCUCCUCAUAUUUAUGCAAAAUAUUCUCAGCAUCCACAAAUCAAGCUAUUUCAGUGAACUGCCUCUUUCUCCAGUGGCAGGACUUUCUGCUCUAUUUAUUGGAAAUGCUGUCCUGUUUAUCACCUCCUAUGCAGGAUCAUCAUCAUAUAAGAAACCACUUAUUUUCCCAAUGAUCUUAAAACUUAUUAAACCAAUGAGAACUAAAGAGUUCUCAAGAAAAAAAACUCAAGAGUUUUUGGACCUCAGACCACAUUACCUUCUUUUCAACACUUACUGGAUUUUCAUGAUUUCACUUAACCCAAGAUUCCUAAUGUAUUUGUACUUGUGCUUUUUGCCUGCUGGCUUGGAAUUAGCUACAUCCCCAUUGCUUUGCUACAACAGUCUGUCUGUCUGAAAAACAGACUUCUUCUUCACUUAUGCCUAUUAUAGUUUUAGGGUCUUUUGCUUUUAUUAAGCAAAAUAGAAGUACAACUGAGGCAUCAUACAAUAAUCUGUACUCUUCCUGAUGCUCAGAAAGUUUCCCCUCUCUUUCAAGGGAGGAUCCUUAAUUCCAUCUUUCCUUGGAGUAUUUUGUUCUGUUGUUGUGUACUUGGAUGCAUUCUUUUAUUUCUGAUGUGAAGUGUUUACUUCAGUACCAUUCUGUUUCUUUCUCCACUUAAGCUUUGAUCAUGUAAGAUGUAAGUACUUGCUAUGAUAAUGCAGUUUUGUAGCUGUAACUGCAAUACACCAGAUGGACUCCUUGUACUGAACUGUUUGUUAGCCCUUCCCUCUUGGUUGUUGGAAAAAAAAUUGUCCAUAGUUAUCUUAUUUGUUGUAGAAUCUCACAGAAAUGUAAUUAAUUUCUAUGUUGUAUUUUUCUCCUGUACAUUGUUCAAAUAUAAACCCAAGAUUCUCUAAACAUGAUUCUCCAAGAAAAUAGGAUCCAAAUUUUCUAAUAUUUAUUAUUAUUAUGUUUUUGUUUGUUUGUUUGUUUUGUUUGUUUGUUUGUUUGUUUUAGGGAAAAUAUCAUUUUAUCAAUUUAGAGACACUGUUUUUGUUGUUUCUUUUCCUGGAAAAAAGUUGUCAUGAAUUCAUUUCAGACAACAGCUCUUACACGUAAUUUUUGAACUUAUACAAUUUCCACAUAUUGCAUUUUCUACUGAAUAUAAAUUAAAAACAAAACAAUACAAAACAAAACAAACAAACAAACAAAAGUCUUACCCUUAAAUCUUCAAGUUAGUGAGUUAGUGUAUUUUGGGAUAGGAAUAAUUACAACCUUCUACAGUCAAUGUUUAUAUCUUUUGUUCUUUGUUUUCUCUUACUACAUUUCUUCUGUUCAAUCCAUAUGCAUGUUUAUAUAAUUUGACUGGAAAUUCUAGUGAGUGAAGAACUGUUUUGCUUGCUCAAAUCUACACAGGAGCACAUAUUCUGAGCACAUAGUAUGUUACAUUUGGACAAAGUCUGCAUAUCCCUGAACUGGAAGAGACCCACAAGGAUCAUCAAUUCCAACUCCUGGCUCCACACAGCACAACCCAAAAAUCAAGCCAUCUUUCUGAGAGCAUUGUCCAAAUGCUUUCUAACUCUAUCAGGUUUUGUGCUGUGAGCACUUCCCUGGAGAGCCUCUUCCAGUGCUCAAUCAUCUUCUCAGUGAAGAUCCUUUUCCUCCUACCCAAUCCCCGACACAACUUCACAACAUUCACUGAACAUGAAACCCAUUCUAUUCAGACUGUAAUUGAUUUGCAAAUAUUAACCUAGACUGAAGAACAGACAACUGUUCUCUUUAUUGUGAUAUCUAGCACAAAGUAGCUGAUCUGGAAAGUUUACAAGUACUGUCAAUUCUGGAAGCAGUGACAGCUGGAAAAAUGCUGUUGUGUUCAUGGCACUGCAUUCUCUUCAAAGCAUACAAUGCAAUGACAUUUCAAUGCAAUUAAAUCACUAUUACUGGAACAGAAAUGCAAAAUGGUCAAGAUAGUCAUUUGCUUAAUGAUGGGAUGCUUGUUUCAUAUAUGACAGUUUCACAUCUUCCUUCAAGACAGAGGAAAAAUACAUUCAAAUUAGAGCUAGGCAUAAGCAAGCUAGGGAUUUAUCCAUACAUUUCAGAGAUGAAAAACUUGUCAGAGAGAAAAAGGCUCAAAUUCUCAAAAGGUCAGUAUUUGAUUUUCACAUUUUGUCAAUACUUUUAGUAAGAGAAAACAAUCAUAACUAUGUUACAGUUAAAUAUAUUUUUAGUUGCUUUGUAGAUAUUGACUGAGAAGGAUGGAAAAGUUCACAAAUGGUACUUUCUGAACAGAAGGUUCAGCUGAAAUUCUUUCAUCUGAAAUUUCAUGAGUUGCCAAACUAUUUAAGCAAAUGUGUCUAUUUUUAAGUUUAUCCAAUUCAUUUUAGACAGGUUAAAUCAUAUAUUGUUUUCUACUUCCAGUUCUUUUUAAACUUUUUUAUAUCUGGAAAGAUUUCUUCUUCUUUAAUAAAGUAAAUGAAGAAUGAAAAUAGAAUUGCUCA
rnacentral:lncRNA from 1 species